rnacentral:rRNA from 1 species
AGGAUAAACGCUGGCGGCGUGCCUAACACAUGCAAGUCGAACGCUCUUUUUCCUCGCAAGAGGGGGGAGGGAGUGGCGGACGGGUGAGGAACACAUGGGUGACCUACCUUUCAGUGAGGAAUACCGGCGAGAAAUCGCCGACAAGACCGCAUGAGCUUCUCUCGGUCGGCGAGGGAAGGAAAGCUCUCUUUUGUAAUGAGGGAGGGCGCUGGAAGAUGGGCCUGUGGCCGAUUAGCUAGUUGGUGAGGUAAUGGCUCACCAAGGCGACGAUCGGUAGCUGGUCUGAGAGGACGAUCAGCCACACUGGGAUUGAGAACGGCCCAGACUCCUACGGGGGGCAGCAGUGAGGAAUUUUCCGCAAUGGGCGCAAGCCUGACGGAGCAACGCCGCGUGCAGGAAGACGGUUUUCGGAUCGUAAACUGUCUUUUCGUCGGGGACGAGGAACGGACGGUACCCGAGGAACUCGACGCCCCGGCUAACUACGUGCCAGCAGCCGCGGU